rnacentral:rRNA from 1 species
GGAGGAAGCCACUUCGGUGGCAGGAAGACAGGUGGUGCAUGGUUGUCGUCAGCUCGUGUCGUGAGAUGUUGGGUUAAGUCCCGCAACGAGCGCAACCCUUAUUGUUAGUUGCUACCAUUUAGUUGAGCACUCUAGCGAGACUGCCCGGGUUAACCGGGAGGAAGGUGGGGAUGACGUCAAAUCAUCAUGCCCCUUAUGUCUAGGGCUACACACGUGCUACAAUGGUCGGUACAAUGAGAUGCAACCUCGCGAGAGUGAGCAAAACUAUAAAACCGAUCUCAGUUCGGAUUGUAGGCUGAAACUCGCCUACAUGAAGCUGGAGUUGCUAGUAAUCGCGAAUCAGAAUGUCGCGGUGAAUACGUUCCCGGGCCUUGUACACACCGCCCGUCACACCAUGAGAGUUGGCAAUACCCAAAGUUCGUGAGCUAACCGCAAGGAGGCAGCGACCUAAGGUAGGGUCAGCGAUUGGGGUGAAGUCGUAACAAGGUAGCCGUAGGAGAACCUGC